rnacentral:rRNA from 1 species
UACGUAGGGACCAAGCGUUGUUCGGAAUUACUGGGCGUAAAGCGCACGUAGGCGGCUUUGUAAGUUAGAGGUGAAAGCCCAGGGCUCAACCCUGGAAUUGCCUUUAAGACUGCAUCGCUAGAAUUGUGGAGAGGUAAGUGGAAUUCCGAGUGUAGAGGUGAAAUUCGUAGAUAUUCGGAAGAACACCAGUGGCGAAGGCGACUUACUGGACACAUAUUGACGCUGAGGUGCGAAAGCGUGGGGAGCAAACAGG